GCAAGUCGAACGCGACCGUCACUUCGGUGGCUAGUAGAGUGGCGAACGGGUGAGUAACACGUGGACAACCUGCCUGAAUGUGGGGGAUAACUUUUGGAAACGGAAGCUAAUACCGAAUUCUCACGGAGAUCGCAUGGUCUCCGUGAAAAGCCCGCCUCUCCUUGGAAGCGGUUGCCUUCAGAGGGGUCCGCGGCUGAUUAGCUGGUUGGUGGGGUAACGGCUUACCAAGGCGACGAUCAGUAGCCGGCCUGAGAGGGCGAUC
rnacentral:rRNA from 1 species